UACGUAGGGGGCUAGCGUUGUCCGGAAUCAUUGGGCGUAAAGCGCGUGUAGGCGGUUCGGUAAGUCCGCUGUGAAAGUCGGGGGCUCAACCCUCGGAUGCCGGUGGAUACUGUCGGACUAGAGUACGGAAGAGGCGAGUGGAAUUCCUGGUGUAGCGGUGAAAUGCGCAGAUAUCAGGAGGAACACCGGUGGCGAAGGCGGGUCUCUGGGCCGUAACUGACGCUGAGGAGCGAAAGCGUGGGGAGCGAACAGG
rnacentral:rRNA from 1 species